rnacentral:rRNA from 1 species
UACAGAGGGGGCAAGCGUUGUUCGGAAUUACUGGGCGUAAAGGGCGCGUAGGCGGCCUUCUAAGUCGAACGUGAAAUCCCCGGGCUCAACCCGGGAACUGCGUCCGAUACUGGAAGGCUUGAAUCCGGGAGAGGGAUGUGGAAUUCCAGGUGUAGCGGUGAAAUGCGUAGAUAUCUGGAGGAACACCGGUGGCGAAGGCGACAUCCUGGCCCGGUAUUGACGCUGAGGCGCGAAAGCCAGGGGAGCAAACGGG